rnacentral:rRNA from 1 species
GAUGAACGCUGGCGGCGUGCCUAAUACAUGCAAGUAGAACGCUGAAGGAGGAGCUUGCUCUUCUGGAUGAGUUGCGAACGGGUGAGUAACGCGUAGGUAACCUGCCUGGUAGCGGGGGAUAACUAUUGGAAACGAUAGCUAAUACCGCAUGACAACAGUUAUUGCAUGAUAACUGUUUAAAAGGGGCAACUGCUCCACUACCAGAUGGACCUGCGUUGUAUUAGCUAGUUGGUGAGGUAACGGCUCACCAAGGCGACGAUACAUAGCCGACCUGAGAGGGUGAGCGGCCACACUGGGACUGAGACACGGCCCGGACUCCUACGGGAGGCAGCAGUAGGGGAUCUUUGGGAAUGGACGGAAGUCCGACCGAGCAACGCCGCGUGAGUGAAGAAGGUUUUCGGAUCGUAAAGCUCUGUUGUAAGAGAAGAACGAGUAUGAGAGUGGAAAGUUCACACUGUGACGGUAUCUUACCAGAAAGGGACGGCUAACUACGUG